UAAAGAAGAAGAAUCAACAUUUAUCCUUGCUUUCUCCAAGCUAAGGUCUUUGACCAACAAUGGGCUUACUGGGAUUGAUCUAAUCCGUUGUUGGGUGGAGUGGAGGAUUCUGCCUUUGAGUCGCCGGGAGGGCCUGAUGUGUAAGUACGAUGGUAGCUUGAACCAACCCUAGUGCUUAUUCCACACAAGACUUACUGAGGAAGACAUUGUUGAAAUUAUCAAGAAGUUAAGUAGCGAGCCUAUGGAGAAUUGCGCCAAGAUUGGGCUCAAGCCCUUUUGCGUCUCCAACCCGGCUCUAGCGGUAACAAUCCAAGUCGCCUCCUUUUAUUAUUUCAAUACGUUCACCCAUGUUCCUGAUCCAAACUGUCAUUAUAUCAAUCAGGGGGGCUCAGCAUUUUGGUCUCGAAAGCCCUAAGUGACUGUCCAGAAAACAACCAAGC
rnacentral:lncRNA from 1 species